GACGAACGCUGGCGGCGUGCUUAACACAUGCCAGUCGAACGGAAAGGCCCUGCUUUUGUGGGGUGCUCGAGUGGCGAACGGGUGAGUAACACGUGAGUAACCUGCCCUUGACUUUGGGAUAACUUCAGGAAACUGGGGCUAAUACAGGAUAGGAGCUCCUGCUGCAUGGUGGGGGUUGGAAAGUUUCGGCGGUUGGGGAUGGACUCGCGGCUUAUCCGCUUGUUGGUGGGGUAGUGGCUUACCAAGGCUUUGACGGGUAGCCGGCCUGGGAGGGUGACCGGCCACAAUGGGACUAAGAUACGGCCCAGACGCCUACGGGAGGCAGCAGUGGGGAAUCUUGCACAAUGGGCGGAAGCCUGAUGCAGCAACGCCGCGUGCGGGAUGACGGCCUUCGGGUUGUAAACCGCUUUCGCCUGUGACGAAGCGUGAGUGACGGUAAUUGGUAAAGAAGCACCGGCUAACUACGUG
rnacentral:rRNA from 1 species